rnacentral:rRNA from 1 species
UUGACAUCCAGAGAAUUUAGCAGAGAUGCUUUAGUGCCUUCGGGAACUCUGAGACAGGUGCUGCAUGGCUGUCGUCAGCUCGUGUUGUGAAAUGUUGGGUUAAGUCCGCAACGAGCGCAACCCUUAUCCUUUGUUGCCAGCACGUAACGGUGGGAACUCAAAGGAGACUGCCGGUGAUAAACCGGAGGAAGGUGGGGAUGACGUCAAGUCAUCAUGGCCCUUACGAGUAGGGCUACACACGUGCUACAAUGGCGCAUACAAAGAGAAGCGACCUCGCGAGAGCAAGCGGACCUCAUAAAGUGCGUCGUAGUCCGGAUUGGAGUCUGCAACUCGACUCCAUGAAGUCGGAAUCGCUAGUAAUCGUAAAUCAGAAUGUUACGGUGAAUACGUUCCCGGGCCUUGUACACACCGCCCGUCACACCAUGGGAGUGGGUUGCAAAAGAAGUAGAUAGCUUAACCUUCGGGAGGGCGUUUACCACUUUGUGAUUCAUGACUGGGGUGAAGUCGUAACAAGGUAGGCGUAGUGCU